rnacentral:rRNA from 1 species
AGACGUCUACAUUAGACUACCCCUGUAGUCCCAGCCGUAAACGAUGCGCGUUAGGUGUAUCGACGACCACGAGUCGUCGAGGUGCCGAAGGGAAACCGUGAAACGUGCCGCCUGGGAAGUACGGUCGCAAGGCUGAAACUUAAAGGAAUUGGCGGGGAGCACCACAACAGGUGGAGCCUGCGGUUUAAUUGGACUCAACGCCGGAAAUCUCACCGGAUAAGACAGCAGAAUGAUUGCCGGGCUGAAGACUCUGCAUGACUAGCUG